rnacentral:lncRNA from 1 species
UCGGGCCCUGGCCUAACCGAUGCCUGAAGAAGUCUAGACGUCGGUCCCCCUAUAAGGCGACGUCUAAAGGGCUGCCAGGUAAGGUGAAUAGUCGACCUAUAGACGUCCACAAGACAACCACCGACGUCUAUAGGUCUCAGAGAUGGUGAAAAGUCACGAGGAAGACGUCGGUGCCCCCCAAUGGACGUCUAUAACCUGACAGGUAGUUGGGUGCCAUUAAUGUCUGAGACAUAGACGUCGGCGCCCCUCCCUAAGGGACGUCUAUAACUUGACAGUUAGGUGAAACUGUAAUGAUUAUGCUACAAACUAGACGUUGAUUACCAUGCAACCGAUGACUAUGUCCAACUAGACGUCAGUUGUGCACAUACCUGAUGUCUAUAAUCCGCGCCAAUAUUAAUAUUUAAAUCAUAUAGACGUCGAACUAGUGAGAGCACCGACGCCUAUAACCUUACAGACGUCUGUCGCGAUAGAUUACCGACGUUUAGAGUGACAAACUUCAGAACGCGAACCCGCGAGCAGUUUCCACUAUUCAUCGUCUUCUUCGUCGAGAGCUCUUCUCCG